ACCUCCAAGUGCUUCAAGGACCUUGUAAAAGGAUGCAAAUGAACAGCUAAAGUCCCGUUGCCUCCUGAAAAAAAAAACACCCUUGGGGAUUAUCUAGGAAUGUUAAGAUUGCUUUCAACACAGUCUAUUAAUGAAAGCAGUCAAGAGUUAUUUGAACAAGUAUACUUUUCUUUAAUAUGUGUUUUCUCACUAGCAGUUUUCUAUCCUUUUGGAAAUCAGACGGAGUUAGUAACUUUGGUUAAAGUACCUAAUUGGUAGCGUUUGGGUGUAGGGUUGGUUUUUGAUAUUGCUUUAGUUACCCUGUGGUGUAUUGGGUCAAAUCCUGAAAAAAUAAAUUUGGACUGAAUACGGUAAA